UAGGUCCUACGGGGGGCAGCAGUGGGGAAUAUUGCACAAUGGGGGAAACCCUGAUGCAGCGACGCCGCGUGGGUGAAGAAGUAUUUCGGUAUGUAAAGCCCUAUCAGCAGGGAAGAAAAUGGCGGUACCUGACUAAGAAGCCCCGGCUAACUACGUGCCAGCAGCCGCGGUAAUACGUAGGGGGCAAGCGUUAUCCGGAUUUACUGGGUGUAAAGGGAGCGUAGGGGGCGUGCCAAGUCAGGAGUGAAAACCCAGGGCCCAACCCUGGGACUGCUCUUGAAACUGGCAGGCUUGAGGGCUGGAGG
rnacentral:rRNA from 1 species